AUGUAAAGUAAAAUUCAGAAGACUUAAACAAAGUCCUAAAAACAAUCAAACAACUAAAUUAGUGCAAGUAGAGCUGAUUUAUUUAUCAAAACACAAUAUAAUCAUCUUCAUUAAAGUAUUUUGUAUAUUCGAAUUAAUUUAUAAAUGUAAGUGUUUAAAAAUUAGAGAUAGGUUUUGCCGGUUGUUGAUGAGUGAUGAAUACCAGCUGUGAAUUUUCUCAACGCGUGUAAGCAGCCAUGACACAGGAAACCGAAAUAGUGUUCCAAUAUAAUGUGAGGGUCCUUGACAGUGGCCGAACCCGCAUACUACACGAUAUAAUGAUUCCCCACCUCGGGAGCUAUAGGGAACGAAUUGAGACACAGCCCUGGAUGUAAUCACGUCUGUGCUGAUCACGUGCCUGUACACAAACCCGCCGCAGCUCACUUGCAAAAGAUUAUCCUGUUAUUUAUUACACGUAUAGUAAACGUUUUUAAUGUUAUCAUGAAUCAAUGUUAUAGUUUUGUAUGUCACAUUAUUUUUUGAGAAGAGUCAUGACUCAACGCGGACCUUACACGCUGUUAAUUUGUGUGUGCAUAUGGCGGUACAGGCUCUUUUGCACUCUAUGACCAGCCAUCAUUAAAUCGAAAUACAGUAAAAAAAAUGAGCGCGAAACCCUGACACUUUACAGAAAGGCACGGAUAUCCCCGCCCGAAGAAAAAAAGAGCACAGGACAAUGGUUGCAAGUUAAACAGCUGAACAUUUCACCAUCUGCAAAUAACAUUUCACCAUCGACAUAUCAACAUAAACGGUCCUCUUUUUCGAGUUUGACUGCGUUUGGUACAGGUCACAACAACAACGGCAGAUGUAGAGACCACACUUUCCCUUGCUUCCACUCCACGGCUGAUCAUGCUUGAGGAUCCAGAUCUACAAAACAAAAAAUGGAUGCUGCCGAUUGAAGGCUAAGUCCGCUUUCCUGCGAUUGACCUACCAUUUCUUCAGCAUUUGCUGUUCACUUUGGUUGCUACUACGUGCUCAACAUCGAGUACCAAGUGGAAGCAGCCACUACUUUGGAGUUUAUUCAGAGAUUUAUUGUGAGGAUCAGCCCCGACAACAGCAAGUGCUCCUCUAACUUCCAGGUGAGCAAAAGAAGUGGGAAGAUGGUGCAAAGGAAGAACUCUGGCCUGAACCAUCAUGUAUAUAUCCACCUUUAUUAAGGACUUUAUGAAUUAAGCAAAACUAUUAAGCAACUAAAGCAAAUACAUUCUACUCAACUCACCAGAGGUUUGUGAAGUUCUUUUUUUAUCUUAAAGGUUUCUUUUAGUUAAUUUGUCCAUGCACUGAUUUAUAAUAUUGUAAUAUGAAACUCCAGUGUAUACAUGUUACUACUGUUGCUUCUAAAAGCAAAAUAAGUCUAUGCAGGAGAGGUUUUGUUACGUUUUUUUUUUUAAAUUAUUCUUAUAGACGGUUUCAUCGGACGCACAUGACACACGUCUGGAUCCGAACCUUACUUCCGGUUUCGCUUUUUUAAUGGUCUGACUAGUUGCUAAACUGAUUUCUUGAACAAAAGCCUCGUCGAAAAUAACAUGUUUUGGUUUCCGAGCUAAUCUAUGUGUUGUUUUUUUGCUUGUUAUAUAAAUAAAAUGCGUUUAAAGAACUUUGUUGUUUUUUUAUUCUUAGCGGAGUUUAUCGGAAGUUCAUGCGGACCGCGACAGCCGCUUGUUUAUGUUGUUACUGAUGAAACCGUCUAUAGUUAUAACUGAAUUUGUACUAGUAUUAUUUGAUAAUACUGUGAAAUGAAACAGUGAGUAAAUGUAACAUUGGCUUUGAAAAAGCUGUUGCUGCAAGAAAUUACAAUUUACUCAGAAUAAUAUUUUGAAUGUAUAAGUUUUUGACAUUGCUUAUGACUACAUUUGAAUGUAUUGUUCAUGAAUUGAUGCUGUGAUAUGUGUGUGUAAAUGUUUUGUGUGUUACAGGAUAAAAUAUUUUAUUUUACUCAGGAAAGUAUUUUGUAUUUGAACAUUGUUAUUAUGACUGAGUUAGUUCAUGACUUGAUUUAAAAUUCUGUAAUAUGAUAUCUAUGAGUAAAUGUUAUUGCAGGUUUAAGAAAAACAGUUUGUGAUGCAAGC